GUGGGGAAUAUUGGACAAUGGGGGGAACCCUGAUCCAGCCAUGCCGCGUGUGUGAAGAAGGCCUUUUGGUUGUAAAGCACUUUAAGCGAGGAGGAGGCUACCGAGAUUAAUACUCUUGGAUAGUGGACGUUACUCGCAGAAUAAGCACCGGCUAACUCUGUGCCAGCAGCCGCGGUAAUACAGAGGGUGCAAGCGUUAAUCGGAUUUACUGGGCGUAAAGCGAGCGUAGGUGGCCAAUUAAGUCAAAUGUGAAAUCCCCGAGCUUAACUUGGGAAUUGCAUUCGAUACUGGUUGGCUAGAGUAUAGGAGAGGAUGGUAGAAUUCCAGGUGUAGCGGUGAAAUGCGUAGAGAUCUGGAGGAAUACCGAUGGCGAAGGCAGCCAUCUGGCCUAAUACUGACGCUGAGGUGCGAAAGCAUGGGGAGCAAACAGGAUUAGAAACCCGGGUAGUCC
rnacentral:rRNA from 1 species